CUGAUGCAAUCAUGUCUAAAAAUGUUAACUGUGCUCCUGCGAAGUACUAAGAUUACCCUUUCCUCAGAACAACUGCAUCUGCUAAUUCAGUUUCCACUGUUCAUUGAUCUUGAGCGGAAUCCCUCUUUUGUGGCCCUCUCACUUCUAAAGGCAGUUGUUAAUCGCAAGCUGGUUGUUCCUGAGAUAUAUGAUGUUAUGAUGCAUAUUGCAGAGCUAAUGGUUACAAGCCAAGUGGAUUCAAUUCGCAAGAAAUGCAGUCAGAUUAUGUUGCAAUUUUUACUAGAUUAUCAUCUUUCUGGAAAAUAUUUACAACAACAUUUAGAUUUUCUGCUGAGGAAUUUGAGUUAUGAGUAUUCAACUGGAAGAGAAUCUGUACUUGAAAUGCUCCAUGCUAUAAUAGUCAAAUUUCCCAGGAACUUUCUGGAUAAACAUGCACAAACAAUAUUUAUCCAUUUGGUGCAAUGUUUAGUCAAUGACCGUGAUAAUAAAGUCCGUUCCAUGACCGGUNUUAAAGCUUUUGAUUGGACGUGCAAGUCCUCAUUUGCUAGAUUCCAUGUUUGACUUUAGUCUAUCUUGGUAUAUGGAUGAAAAGCGGCAAGUCCAGAGCACUGGUGCACAGGUACUGGGAUUAUUGGUUGAGGUCAUGAAUAAAAGCUUUCAAAAGCAUAUCAGCAGUAUAUUGCCUGUGAGCAAAACCAUUUUGCAGGCUGCUGUGGGUGUUGCCAGUGAGAGUCCAGCGCUAGAUCUUCAUGAUGAAGCUGUUCCUCUCUGGAAAGAGGCAUAUUAUUCGUUAGUUUUGUUGGAGAAGAUUCUACAUCAUUUUCAUGAUCUCAGCUUUGAAAAGGAUUUUGAGGAUAUAUGGGAAGCAGUAUGUGAGUUGCUCUUACACCCACACCCAUGGUUACGCAACAUAUCAAGUCGCCUUGUGGCAAUUUACUAUGCUACUGUGACUAAGGCCAGCAAAGAGAGUCAUGAAAAAGCAUUGGGAACAUUUUUCCUUAUGAGGCCACAUAGGCUUUUUAUGAUAGCUGUUUCCCUUUGCUGCCAGCUAAAAACACAAGUCAUUGAUAACGCUGUUGAA
rnacentral:misc_RNA from 1 species